GUUGCAGCCCUGACAAGACAACCAAAUAUGGACAACCAAAUACUACCCUGAUCUUGGACUUCUUAGCCUCCAAAAAUAUUUCUUGCAUUAAAAUUUCUCCUAAUGAUAUUGUUUAUUCAAGCUGGCAUUGAGAAGACAUAAAGUUUAGGCCCUUGGAUGCUAAAGGUCCAUAGCUAAAGAAGAGAGGAGUUUUGCCCCAGGAUCAACCAUACCUUGAGUCUCACCUAUGAUUGAUUUAGAUAUUUAUAUGAGAAUUUGAACUUUAUCAGAAAUGAAAGCUUUUGUGACUCAAAGGACAUUAUCAGGAAAGUGAAAGGACAACCUACAAAAUGGGAGAAAUAUUU